UUGAAAUUCACAGGUUCUCGAGUCGGCGAAAGAGAGCUCCCCCUUCGUCAAAAAGAAUUCUCGUCAAACUCCGACCGUCUCCAAACCUCUCCGAACACCCCCCGCCCCUUCCUCCUCCUCCUCCGCCCCCUUUCCUCCCAUCUCCCAUGGAUUACGAUUAUCGGAACCGGACGGGCGCCGCGUACCGUCCCGGCGUCGGCGGGGGCGCCGCCUCCUUGUACCCGAGAGUCGGUCAGCCCGGCCACCCGCCAGUCGCCCGAGCCCCUUAUCUCCAUCCAUCCUCCUCUGCUCUUCCCUCCGCAGGAUUGGGCAUUCGAGUUACAAUAAAACCAGAAUAUCAGAUAACACCUCCUCCUCAGCUAGCACCUCAAGUAGCAGAAGUUCCUAGGAGCACAUUUCAGUUUGACUUUGAGUUUGAAAAGAAAAUACUUGCUGAGGCAGAGAGAGAUAGCCAGAACUGGAGCAAAUUUGCAGUGGAAAGCCAGUCAUCAAAAACUGCACCUUCAACUUCUUCUAUGGGUUCAACAGGGGAUCCAGUAGUGGACAAAUAUGUUGCCUCAGGGCUUGGACGUGAAGCUGUAUCACUUGCAGUUCUAAAUUAUGGAGAUAAUCCAACAAAGGAAUAUGGAACCAGAGGCACAUCAGACUGGAAUUUUAGUAGCAGGAAACUUCUACGAAGGGUGACGACCUUGCUCUGAAAGAAACUCAAACCAGAAUCUGCUUUCUUAGCACCUCGUUCAAAUGUUUCUAGAAUAUUGGCUUCCACGUGCCUGCACCUAGACCUGCUCCCGCAUCUAAUCCUGAAUCUCGACCAAGGAUUAGAUUGGCAGGGCUCACGAGGAAUCUGCAAACUUUAUCUGAUUGUUCUUUGAUCAGCAAAACCAACCUAUAUGGACGGAAGAUGGCACUUUGGUCUAGUCUAAGGCAGCAACCCAGGUUAGGGAGUUUGUGAAAGGCUAUAAUCUCCUCCGAGAGAUGGGUUUCUCUUCGAAGAAUGUGGCUGAAGCACUGGCGAUGUAUGAUAAUGACACUGACAAGGCUUUGGCUUAUUUUCUCAACAGUUCGUCGUGACUUUGUACAUAGAUAAUUUGUGCUUGGAAGUGUGGUACUGUCUCAUAUUAUAUGUCAGGGUUCACUCUCUGUUAUAGGUGAGACCUUAUAGCUUCGUGCAAUUUCAGUGUAGGAGGCACUUUAAUCAUGUCUCAUCAGUUAUCAUUUGUGACUGCCGUAGUUCCUGCCGUCGUGACACUUGUGAGGCAGUCAACUGUGUUAUGCAUAAAUCUGCAAAUGGUUCAAAUCCUAAUGUGCUCGUAACUGAGAUAAUAAUGAGUAUUGCACCAGCUAUUCUUGGGUUCUA